AGCCUACGGGGGGCAGCAGUAGGGAAUCUUCCACAAUGGACGAAAGUCUGAUGGAGCAACGCCGCGUGAGUGAAGAAGGGUUUCGGCUCGUAAAGCUCUGUUGGUAGUGAAGAAAGAUAGAGGUAGUAACUGGCCUUUAUUUGACGGUAAUUACUUAGAAAGUCACGGCUAACUACGUACCAGCAACCGCGGUAAUACGUAGGGGGCAAGCGUUGUCCGGGUUUAUUGGGCGUAAAGCGAGUGCAGGCGG
rnacentral:rRNA from 1 species